CUAGUGGAUUCGAGAGAUAUAAUGGAGUUGCAGCUAUAAAAAAGAAGAUCGUGAGGUGAUUAUAAGAAAAAACAGAAGCUUUAGCCCCUCCUCCUGCACCUCUUAUGAUGAUGAUGCAAUCAUCACAACCACCACAACCUAUGUAUUAUUCACAACUACCACCACCACCACAGGCCGCCACUCCGACUCCUUUUGCAUCACCGCCAGUAUUACCUCCCCCUGCAAAGCCAAAAUCCUCCCGUCCUCCAUGGCUGGAACAUUCUAUCGCGCCCCUGCACCAGGAGCUCCCGCUUUUGUUAAGGUAUUAACCUUUCCACCUGCAUUCAUAUACCAACAAAAAUACAUCCACGUAAAACAUCAACAUUGUUAAAAUUAAAAAAUAUAUAUAUUUAGAAAAAUUGAAUGAUGAUAAUAACAUUGUUCCUUUUAGAACUUCUUGUUAAACUGAACAAGACAUGACAGAUGGCAUUCAUUUGAACUGAUGUCAACUUUUUGUCGCAUAAAAAAAUGUGGGAUAAAGACUUGGUUAUUGGUAUGUUAUCUGUCGUAUAUUGAAAAUAGUCUUAUUGUUUCUUGAUUUGGAAGUAGAAUUGAUGUGAAGAUAUUUGGUGUAUUUUUAUUACCAGGUGGGAGACAAGGUUCAUAAAGGUCAAGUAAUAUGUAUUAUUGAAGCAAUGAAGUUGAUGAAUGAGGUUGAGGUAAUUCAGUCUCUUUGAUAAUUUGGAUAAUUUCUUACCACCCUAAAUCUUAAUUAUGACCUGCCAAAGAGCUAUUUAGUACAACAAGAUAAAAAUUGGCAUAGAUGAAUGAAUCUAUCUUAUUUUAACUAAUUAGAUAGCCAGCUAAUUAAGGUUUUGUAAGAACGCUUUUCCCCUCAUUGUCCAAGUGUUUUUGAUGUGUGUGUGAAUUAUUAUGUUAUUCUGUUAGACUAUCAAUCAGGAGCAGUAGUUGAUAUUAUUGUUGAUGAUGGGAAACCUGUUAGCCUGGAUAUGGUAUCUCUCUCUCUCUCUCUCUCUCUCUCUCUCUCUCUCUCACACACACACACACACAUACACACAACAAUUUACAUUUUAAAUUGAACCAAUUUACAGAAACACUGUUUCUUUGUUGUUUGCAGCCUUUACUUGUUAUUGAACCAUGAAGAGGAAGUGGAACAUUAUGAAGUUGAGAGAUGAAAGUCAUGUGUCAAGAUGGAAGUUAGACUUUGUGUUUCUUUUUUUGAGGAAAGGGCAUUGGUAAUUGUUACACAUUGGUUUUGUAAUGUAAGCCUAAAUUUUGAAAUAAUACAUUACUUAUAAGAAAAAGAUUAUUUUAUUUUAAGUAAUUGUGUUGUGUCUCUCACUUCUUCUACUUGGUUUAUAAAUGUCAGGCUUUUUUUUAAUCUUUAGCAUAUUAUGAACUAGUUUCAGUUUGUAAUUUGGGAGAAAUGCCAUUGUUUUUUGUUUUUCUAUCUGUUAUGUUUAUAAAGAAAUCAAAAGAGACAGGAUCAAAAAUGGUAAUUUUGGAAUCCCUCCAAGUUGUUUUAUAUCGUUUUAUUUUUCAAAAGUUUAGCUAAUUAAUUUAUUAAUGUGAUGAAAGAAGCUAUGCUUACCUGUUUCUAUUUUAACUUUUAACUAACAUUUUUAAUUUGCAUCUACUUGACCUUGCUUUUAGAUACAACAAAAGGACAUCAGACUAUCUUAAGUACAUAGUUUGAAUCUGUUUUCAAUGCUUUAUGGGAUUCAUUGAACACCUAUAAUAACACCAUUUAUUCUAGACUAGUGUUUCUAAAAAAAAGAAAGAAAACAUAACGAAUUUCAGUUUUAAUACAAACCAAAACAUGGAAUAAUGUUUCACAACAGUGACUGUCUAAAUACAGAAAAAAAAAAACAUUCCAAGUAAAACCUUGAAUCACUGGGUGGGGUGUAAAGUAGUCAAGACCUCAAGUCGUCUUCACUCCUGGUCAAUCAAGGAUUAAGUAAUUUGCCACCAUUCCCAUAACAUCAAACCUAUUAAAUAAUCUCCAUGUAAAAAUAAUUUAUGGUAUUGGUUAUAAGUUGUUUGUUGAAUGGAAUGAUUAGGUUGGAUUUCGUUUGAGAGGGGAUGCUCUUGGGUUGUUCAAUGAUGAUGAUGAUGUCUCGAAUGCCUUUGAACUCCUCUUAGGGUUGAUGAUGGAUAAACACCAACAACCAACCCCACUCACCCAUACCCUUUCGUUUUCCUCUACCUUCUCGUUAACCUCCAACAUCAUUAAUCUCCUACUGUCCUACAACCAUCACCAAUAACCACCUGGACCAAAACAAAAUCAAAACUAAAAAGUGAAACCUCUAGAAAUCAAAAUGUAACCAAUGUCAAUUCAUAUAAUCAUGAAAUCAGAAUCUUAAAUGAUAUCAAAACUAAUGUUUGGGAAGAAUGAAUGGUUUGGAGAAAAAGUCAUAAAUAUGAAGAUAUAUUUUGAAAACAAAUGCAAAUUAUCUUUCAAUCUAUGGAUUUGGGGUAUCGACAAUUUAUGGAGAAAUCAGUCCGUAAGUAUCAGAUCCCCAAAAUGGUAAACUAAACAGAUCAUAACAAUCCAAAAAAGAAUCUUAAAAUUGCAAUUCAUACGAAAAACUGUGAUAUGAUAAAAUCAACAGAAAACAGAAGAACUCACAUCAUGUUGUCUCUGAAUGGCCCUUGGUCUAUUUUGGCCUCCGAGAGGCUUUAAUCCGGUCAACAAGAACACAUCCUCUUUGAUCUCACUAGGCAAAAUGGAAUCAAACACUUAUGUUAUUGUUGGUAUGCACUUCUGAUAAUUGUUUGUUGAUGUUAGUCUCGUAAGAAGUUUUAAUCUCCUGCAAUCGUGAUGAGAUCUUCGGCAGGCCCCUAAGUCAAUAAACCAUAUGAAUUGUUAUAGAUCUAUUCCAACCAUCUUCGGAGAGUGAGAAACAGAGGAAAAAUGCAAAUAACGAUACCGCCUAUCUCAAAUGUGAAUCUGAGAAAAUAAUGCAUAUCAGAUUUUAAGUUCCCAAUUUACUCCAGUUAUACGAUGUGAGAGAGAGAGCGAGAAUGCAAACGAGGGUGGAUCCGGGGUACGAGGGAGGAGGGAGAAGUGUGGAUGGUGGUGGCUUCAGGCGGCAUCGGUGGCUUCAGGCAACAUUGUACGAUUGUGUUGAACUGAUGUAAAGAGGGAGAUGCAGGUGGUUAAUUUUGAAAUUGAGAAUAAUCGAAUGCAAAUAAUGGCUUGCACAACAAGCAGAAUCUCUUCUUCCCCUCUAGUCUCAAACACCAUCUCCAAACCUUCAACCAAUUUGAUCAAUUUGUAAAUCAAGAACAAACUGGAACUGAUUUUGAAAUUAACAGAUGAUUUACAGAUGAAAGAAAAAAAAUCGAUUGAUUAAGAAAACUAAAUCGAUGAUAAAAUUCGUUUUACAUUUUCUGGAAAUCGAUGAUCAGACGCAAAAAAACGAAGCCGGUGCGUUGUAUCCGGAGAGGCUGAGAUGUGUGUGUUGUAGUCGGAGGCGGAGAAGUCGGUGGAAACACUGUAGAUGGUGUCAGGGUGCCGGUCGGAGAUCGAUGCUUCAUCCAUUCAGAGUUCACAAGAGCAUGAGGGAGACGGUGGCUAGGGAAAAAUCCAUACACGAAAGAGAUAUGUGGGUUUCUUUUCGAGUUCAGGCGGUCACAGAUGGGAAGGAGACUAAUACUUGAACAUGGAGGACGCCGACUGGUGGAGAUGUAGGCUACCGAUCAAGGGAGCUGUUUGUUGUUUUAUGGGUU
rnacentral:lncRNA from 1 species